UACGUAGGGUGCAAGCGUUAAUCGGAAUUACUGGGCGUAAAGCGUGCGCAGGCGGUCCGUUAAGACAGAUGUGAAAUCCCCGGGCUUAACCUGGGAACUGCAUUUGUGACUGGCGGACUCGAGUAUGGCAGAGGGGUAGAAUUCCACGUGUAGCAGUGAAAUGCGUAGAGAUGUGGAGGAAUACCGAUGGCGAAGGCAGCCCCCCUGGGCCCAAUACUGACGCUCAUGCA
rnacentral:rRNA from 1 species